GUCGAGAGGUGCAAGACUCGGCGCACUGUUCAGUAACACGUGGAUAACCUACCCUCAGGAGGGGGAUAACCCCGGGAAACUGGGGAUAAUACCCCAUAGAUCAGGGACGCUGGAAUGCCCCCUGAUCUAAAGGUCCGCCGCCUGAGGAUGGGUCUGCGGCCGAUUAGGUUGUUGUUGGGGUAACGGCCCAACAAGCCAUUGAUCGGUACGGGUUGUGAGAGCAAGAGCCCGGAGAUGGAUUCUGAGACACGAAUCCAGGCCCUACGGGGCGCAGCAGGCGCGAAAACUUUACAAUGCGAGAAAUCGUGAUAAGGGAACCCCGAGUGCCCGUAAAUUCGGGCUGUCCAUCAGUGUAAAUAACUGGUGAAGAAAGGGCCGGGCAAGACCGGUGCCAGCCGCCGCGGUAAUACCGGCGGCUCGAGUGGUGGCCACUAUUACUGGG
rnacentral:rRNA from 1 species